CUACUAUUGUAACGGCGAAUAGUUAUCGCUGUUAAUAACAGAAUGUCAGGACUAAUCGCUCUAAUAUUUUGCGCCUGGUGUAUGUCUUUGCCGCCCUCGCGAAACGAACGCCGCUAUCAAUGCCACUAGAUUCAAAACAAACCAAUCAUCAACCUGCCACAUUACGCGGCCUUCGCAAAUGUUCCAGCUGUGGCGCCAUCAACGGCAGUCGGGCGCUGCUCUGCCGCAAUCCCCUGUGCCCACAAAAUAAAAAUUCCCUCGACGGCGUACAAUUGAUUUGUCAUCGCACCGGCUGUGCCAUUUACUCACUGCGUAUCAAGGAAUUCAAGCAACAGGAUGCACAGCAAUCACGCAACUUCGUGUGCAUCGAGGAUGUCACGCUAUCGUUGCAGCCCAAUGCUGCAGUUGUGUCCAGCAAAGCUAUUUGCCAUGUCGAUGCCUGCAAGAGCGAAAACAACAAUUGCAAGCACAUCAAAGCGUGUCGCGAGUGCAGCGAACAGAUGCCCAAGGCAACGGUUUAUAGUGUCAGCCGUGAAGUGCUUUGGAAUCUCAACAUUAGCCGCGAGCAGAAGCAGCAGCUCUGGCAGCAGUACAAAUCAGCGGAGGAGCAGGAACAACUGCCUGCCGUGCAACGACUGAAUGCCACAACAUUCGUAGUGCGUUGCGAGCGCUCGGAGUCGUUUCCUGCGGCGCACCUGCAUGUGACUGCGCUGGCCAACGGUUUGUCCACCAAGAAGGGCAUCUAUGCAUGUGCCUGUCGCAAGCUGAAGAUCAUUGUGGAGCCGGACAAUUCGCUGGUGAUGCAGGAUGAGAUUUGUGAUCAUAUAUUGCUGGUGCUUGCGGGGAUUCUAAGUUCACCGCAGGGAAAAACAGUGUAUGGUAACUUUACGAAAAGUCUACAAUCGUUUUGGAUGCCCGCCAAGUUGGAGACGCCGCUGGGCGAGGUGUUAAUGCACGAUGAUUUGCGUCUAGGACUGAGCAUCAAUAUUGGCGGCGACAUGGAGCCGCCAGAGGACAUUUAUAUAUUUGACGAUGAAGUGACUAACGAUUUGCUGUCGCUGCCGGAAGAUCUCUCCGAUGUUGUCUACAAUGUGGAUGCAGCAACACCAACGCAAAACAGCGCCAGCAACAAUGCUGUGGUCCGCUACGCCAACGAUGCUCAGCUGCUGUCCAACUAUGACAUUUAUGCUGAGCAGCACAAUCAACAUCUCGAGUUAACCGAUUGCAACAUUGAGCUCAUGGAUCAAUAUCAACUAACCGAUCAAAUUGAUUUAUGCAGCGAUGAUAUUGAGCUGCCGCUAAUCAGCGAACCCUUCAACAUUCUAGCACCGCCGCCAGCGCCCGCAAAUCAAUUGCCAGCCAUUGAAUUACCCACAAUAUCGGUAAUUAAGGAGACGGCCAUCAAGGCAUCUGAAAUCGUCAAGGAAGUCAAGACUCGCAAGCAGCCGCCAUUGCCGGCGAAGCGUACUUUAAUUGUAAAUGAAACAAACACAACAACUGUGGAAACUGUGGGUGUUGAGGUGCAGCCCGCAUUGGCAUACGAGGCGUGGCUGGAUUAUGUGAUAGAGCUGAUCAACGAUUCCAUUGAGCCUGUGGCGGAGCAGGCAGCUGUGAGCACACGUCCAGUGCAGCACAGCUUGCAUGUGCAUAAGGAAACCUUUUCGCACUUUAACAAGAGCUUCAGUGCGGGCAUCAAGCGGCGUCCACUGGACAAUGUCACGGUGAUAGCGAGUGGCAAGCACAAAGGACGCAGCAAGUACGAGUGGCACUUUAGAGCCUCGCAUACCGUCAAACGCAUCUUCAGCAGUCGCAAUCUUAGCCUCCAACUACAGCGCUCCUUCGAACGUCAACCUGAUGGCCACUUUGAGCCUUAUGUGCGCCAAGCGCCGAUGCCAGCGACGUCCAAGCAACGUCAAGUCUAUACAAGACUUCGGCUCUAUAUGGUUAACAUGCUCUUUGAUAGCGAGAAUCCCAAGAGUGGCUUGCUUUUGAGCUGGACUCCAGAUGUGCUGCCUCGCAGUCAAUUUGGUUUGCUGCAAAUUGAAUUUGUGCUGCAAACGAAUGCGACAACUUAAAAUGUGCCCAACAACGAAUUCAAAUGUGAGAACCAAAUAUCUUUGACAUGGACAAAUCAAGGAACGUACGUUAAGGAUUAAAGGGCACGAAACUGACUCAAGCAUAGAUUGUGGGUGCUAAAUUGUACUGUGCUGCUGUUCAGAACCCAAUCGAUCGAUCAUCGUAUUCAUAGCACCCUGCUCCGUUAGCAUUUAAUACUAUAUUUAUACUUAUACCGAUUACUAAGAAAAACUUGUACAUGCACAAUCUGUUGAUUCUUAGAAUUAUAUUUAUAUAUAUAUAUAUAUAUGUAUGUAUGUAUAUAGCGAUGGCAAUUCAAGAGUGCAAAACUCAAUUGGAUGUUAAGUAAUUCUGUACAUGUUUUAGAUGGGGGACUGGGAAUACGUAAUUUAUGUCAUGAAAGCUUGGCAUGUUAAAUCUCAAAUCUGAAAUCUUCGCCUCUGGGGAGACGUUUUGACAAAUGUAUUUUUUAUAUUUUUCUUUGCUUUGACAUAUUCCACAAGUGAGAAAAACAAUUUUGAAUAUUUUUUGUUUGCAUUCGCUUUUUCCACAUGAAUUUAUAUUUUAGUAAUACUUUGCUUGCGAUUUGCUUUACAAAUUAAUUAGUUCUUAAACAUUAAACGCUAAGCAGUUUUAUCAUAUCGUAUUUAUAUAUAUAUAUAUUUAUUUGUAUUUUGUAUUUUUACAAUAUUUAUAUCGUCAUCUUAAACAUUACUUAUUUUUCCGUUUCUUUCAUGCAAUCUUUGAUUUGAUUACGUAAUUUAUAUUUAAAGUAUUUACAGUUGUGAUGCGCCUGGGUUUUUUAUUUUGUUGCGUGAUUAGUUCAAUUGUUUUUUUGUUUUUAGUUUAGGAUUUACAGUGAUGUGCUCGUUAAGUGCUUGAUUUGAAUUUGUUAA